GUCCAAUGGUAUGUCCAAGUCAUCUGUUAACCUCCUCCACUGUCUCAGAUGUUUAGAGUUCCCUUCCCUAUAGCGAAUGAAAAAUGGAAAGCACAGCCAUGGCGUGACCUGGACUGACCUAACGCUUGAUUGCCUCCAUCCCUGUUCAUGGGUUAAUGAAGAAUGAGCUGGCUGAAAGAUGAACAUGAUUAUGUGUAAGACAACAGAUCUUAUGGAAGCAGAAGACUGUAUGGGGGACCUACACAGUGACCAACAGCAGACUAGCAGCAGAACACUGAACAAAAGGAAAACCAGACUUGUCUGUUACAUAUGUUUUCUCACAAGAAAGAGCACACACGGGGAUUCAGUCCCCAUGUGACUUCAGGAGAAGGCAGAGGAGUUACAAAGAAGGGAUUAACUGGCAAUACAUUUGCAAUUAAGUGCUCUGCCAUCCUUGCUCUCUUUUCAGCAGCUUUACAUUUCCUUCUGUUGACGUUAUACCCCCAAGCUACCCAAAGCAGGUGGGGUGGUCGGGAACGAAGAGUCUCAUAAGCAAAUGCUAAAGAGCUCCUAAUUCAAGAUGGACACUAAAACUGCUGAAAAUUUUGUAACAAAUUGUCAACUUUUUGUCCCCCUUCCAAAAGCUCCCAGAGACUCUUGCUCUUGGUGUUGGGAUCUCCUUUCUAACACAGAUAUUGUUUAAAUACGCAAUGUUAUUUUACUUUAGUUCUCAAAUGAGUCUUUAUUUCAUCCAGAUGUUACUGCUCAUAUCCCUGUCUUCGUUUAGAGCAACACUUUGUAGAAUACCUAAUCUUUAAGUCACUUUUACUUUAAUUCACCACUAUAUUUUUAAACGACUGUGUUUGACAUAAACCACUAGCUGGUUUCACAACUGCAGCGUCUCCACCUUUGGCAAACUCUUCACUUAUUUAUUCCCUCCUCUUUUAAUGGAGUUGCUGGAACCACUUAAAAUCCAUUAAUACACUACAAAUUUCAAGCACAAAUCAUAUUUGUGUGAACUAGUGCAGUUGGAAAUGCUGAAUAACUUCUACUUCAUAUGAAAUCAAGUCCAUUGUAAAUGUGUAAUUGCGAUCCUCAAACAGCUUAAAGAUUUUCUGCAAAUACUAUGUGAAGAGUCUCUUCCUGUGAAAGAAGUGGCACUUAGCACCAAGGUAUUUUCAUCCUGUCAACACUGGUAAGAAAACCAACCGUAGUUUUGCUAGCAGGGAUAAGCCUGAGGUUAGAAACCAAGCACAGAACAGAAAAACCCUACCACUACAGGUUUGAAGCAUCAGCCAUCCCUGAAGCAGCUGUAGAAGUGCCUGCAAUUACCUCAGGAAUGAGGAGCAGCUGAGUUCAGUUCCCAGUUAGCUCUUACUGACCUAGUGGUUGUUAACCCUGUACGUGGUGGGGGGUCUUUAAGAAUCUUUAAGGUUCUGUCCAAAGUAAGCUAUUCUGUGAUUUAAGAAGUAAACGAGGAAUGGAAGGAUCUUAGGGUUUUACAUAACCAAUUGAGUUAGGGGGCAGUGGGAGGACAAGUGAUGUAAGAGAAAGGUGUGUGUUUAAGCUGCCAGUUUGACACUUGAUCUAUUUCUCUGAAAGGCCCUGUGGUUAGCUGCUGAAGGGUUGGAGGAGAGUCUCCUCUAAAGAAAAAAAUAAACAAAGAAAAACCAUGUAUGUCACCACAGCAGAAGAUACUGCAUUUGGAUGUGUGAGCGAGCGGUGGAUCCUUUGGGAAGUGCCAGCAGGGCCUGGUGAUGGCCAUGCCUCCAGAAAGCUGCUGUGGAGAGUCAAAACAAUUAAAAAGUACUUCACCCCCAUGCUCCCUGCAGGAAUUCAGAUGCUCAAGUCACUCUGUCCUUUCUGGAACACAUUAGUUUCACAACAGGUGAUGACAGCAGCCUGAGAGACAGCAAUAGGUGCCAGUGUGAGCCUGCAGAGAAAUCAGAGCAUCCCUGUAAACCAGGAAUUCCCCUGCCCACCCUCCAUUUUGUUCAGUGUUUCCUGAUGACCACAGAGGCCAGAAGCUCUGCUCAUGCAGGCAGCAACGUCACCUAUACGUGUUCAGAAGAUGUAGAUCCCACAGUCAGAAAAGCAGCUCAGCCUGAAGAUCUGAGAUACAUCUCUAGGACUGUACAUUUCUUCUUAUAAUUUCUGGUGAUGUUCCCAGUUUUUCUGAUGGAAACUUCAUCAAAUCCACCCUUGUGGGAUCAUCUUGAUGUCAAAGGUGUUAAAGCAAUGCAGCGUUGGACCUGAGUUAUUCUGCAUACUCAUGGAAUGUAUUAGUUCCCAGGCAUGCAGCUAGGUUAGAAUCUUAAUCAUAAAAUAUCUAAAACCAAUCAAUUGGCUUAUCUUUAGUCCAUUAAAACAAGCAAAACUGGACAUCUACAAAAACACACAGCCUUUCUACAGUGUUUCCAAGUCACGCUAUGGUAAUCAGUAGCUGUGAAAGUGAAGUCCCUACACACACAUACAGGAACAUAUCAUAGAACCAUAAUAUGGCUUGGGUUGGAAC
ensembl:lncRNA